GUAUCUGGUCUAACUUUUUGACGAACGCAGCUUCCGCCAGUUUUACGUACACGUGUGGUUCGCAUGGAUUUAUCACUGGAAUUGAGAGCGACUUUAAUACGAUUACUAAAGAUCGCAGGAUAACAGUCCGUUGCUCUCAUGUGAAGGGCUACAAAUAUGACAACAGUGAUUGCGAGAACACGGGGUACAAAAACGUGUAUGAAGGACUUUUGAACUUCAGAGCUCGUCCGGGUUACACCGUAGUUGGUGUGGUCAGUCAACACAGCUCGAGGAUCGUCGCUGGGAUUUUCGUGUCUGUAAAUUUAAAACAAGCCAGGGGCGGAAAAAACAAUGGAAAACUUCAGACGCACAAGAAACAAAAGAAGCAGAUAGAAUCAAGCGCAGGGCUUUAAUAAAUAUGCUUUGUAAGGGUGUUCAUAGGGCAAUAAAAUAAAACUACUCUUAUACUCGCCGAGAUAAGAUGUAAAAUUAAACGUGUAACUUUAAAUGGAAAGGGACAGCACGAAACAGACAAAAACUUCUGUCUGACGAGCGCUUACACGCGAAACUCAGAGUCACAGAGAAUCGAUGCGUCCUCAUUAGAUCUUUAACUUUUGUAUAUAUCAAUAUAUAUAUAUAUAUAUAUAUAUAUAUAUAUAUAUAUAUCAAUAUAUAUAUAUAUAUAUAUAUAUAUAAGUUAUCUGAAAUGCCUUUUCUAAGGUUUAGCUCUUAGUCCAUCUUCAGAGUUCCUCCAGAGCGCAGAUAAAGGAAAGGAUGUCAUCGGUUUGCAACUAGAAAUAUAAUUUUUCCGGCUAUAAAAGUAUUUUCAUUAAGAUUGCCCUCAUUGAUUAGAUCUGAUAAUUGAGGGUAAAUGUAAGGUGGGACUGAGAUUUCUAUUUCGCAAUAAACGCUUGCUAAUAUCUUUGAUGUACCUGA